UACGGGGGGGGUAAGCGUUGUUCGGAAUUACUGGGCGUAAAGGGCUCGUAGGCGGCCAACUAAGUCAGACGUGAAAUCCCUCGGCUUAACCGGGGAACUGCGUCUGAUACUGGAUGGCUAGAGGUUGGGAGAGGGAUGCGGAAUUCCAGGUGUAGCGGUGAAAUGCGUAGAUAUCUGGAGGAACACCGGUGGCGAAGGCGGCCCGCUGGGCAGUGGCUGACGCUGAGGCGCGACAGCGUGGGGAGCAAACAGG
rnacentral:rRNA from 1 species